UACGUAGGGUGCAAGCGUUAUUCGGAUUCACUGGGCGUAAAGGGUGCGCAGGCGGCCGAGUGUGUGAGGCGUGAAAGCCUGGGGCUUAACUCCAGAAUUGCACCUCAAACUACACGGCUAGAGCAUUGGAGAGGGUAGCAGAAUUCAUGGUGUAGCAGUGAAAUGCGUAGAUAUCAGGAGGAAUACCAGAGGCGAAGGCGGCUACCUGGACAAUUGCUGACGCUCAGGCACGAAAGCGUGGGGAGCAAAAGGG
rnacentral:rRNA from 1 species